UACGGAGGGUGCGAGCGUUGUCCGGAAUCAUUGGGCGUAAAGGGCGCGUAGGUGGCGGCUUAAGCGUGCGGUGAAAGCUCGGGGCUCAACCCCGAGUCGGCCGUGCGAACUGAGUCGCUUGAGCACUGUAGAGGCAGGCGGAAUUCCGGGUGUAGCGGUGGAAUGCGUAGAGAUCCGGAAGAACACCCGUGGCUAAGGCGGCUCUCUGAGUACGUGACUGACGCUGAGAGCGAAAGCGUGGGGAGCAAACAGG
rnacentral:rRNA from 1 species